AGCAGCCGCGGUAAUUCCAGCUCCAAUAGCGUAUAUUAAAGUUGUUGCAGUUAAAAAGCUCGUAGUUGAAUUUCGAGACCGGCUUACUGGUCGUGCUAUUGUACGUACUGGUAUAAUCGGUUUCUCCUUUCUGACGAACUAUAAUGCCAUUAAUUUGGUGUUAUAGGGAAUCAGGACUGUUACUUUGAAAAAAUUAGAGUGUUUAAAGCAGGCUCACGCUUGAAUACAUUAGCAUGGAAUAACGGAAUAGGACGUUUGAUUCUAUUUUGUUGGUUUCUAGGAUCGACGUAAUGAUUAAUAGGGAUAGUUGGGGGCAUUAGUAUUCAAUUGUCAGAGGUGAAAUUCUUGGAUUUAUUGAAGACUAACUACUGCGAAAGCAUUUGCCAAGGAUGUUUUCAUUAAUCAAGAACGAAAGUUAGGGGAUCGAAGACGAUCAGAUACCGUCGUAGUCUUAACCAUAAACUAUGCCGACUAGGGAUCGGAUGAUGUUAAUUUUUAAUGACUCAUUCGGCGCCUUACG
rnacentral:rRNA from 1 species